rnacentral:tRNA from 1 species
UGGGGGAUCGUCUAACGGUAGGACGGCUGCCUUUGAAGCAGUUAAUCUUGGUCCGAUUCCAAGUCCCCCAGCCA